rnacentral:rRNA from 1 species
UACGUAGGGUGCAAGCGUUGUCCGGAAUUAUUGGGCGUAAAGAGCUCGUAGGCGGUCUGUUGCGUCGGCUGUGAAAACCCGGGGCUCAACUCCGGGCCUGCAGCCGAUACGGGCAGACUAGAGUUCGGCAGGGGAGACUGGAAUUCCUGGUGUAGCGGUGAAAUGCGCAGAUAUCAGGAGGAACACCGGUGGCGAAGGCGGGUCUCUGGCCCGAUACUGACGCUGAGGGGCGAAAGCGUGGGGAGCGAACAGG